rnacentral:lncRNA from 1 species
AAAAAUAAAAUUUUAGCCCAAUUCUAAGGCUUUGAUAAAUCAGUUAUUAGUUCCCAAAAUAUAUGUAGAUACAUGUUCUACAUUUUUAUGGAAAAUACAACAUGAUUUUUAUCUGUCCUUUAGAUAUUUGUGCAUAUAAAUUAAAAUAUUAAAUUCAUUUUUUUUAUUCAAUAACAUACAUAAAAAAAAUACACAAACACACAUCUCUUUUUCUAUUAUUAUUUUCUCUUUCUUUUCUUUUCUUUUUCUCUUUUUUUUUUACAUCCACAAUAUAAAAUACAAUUUCUAAACAAACUAAACAAAAAUUACAAUAAUAUUACAAUAACAUAAUCUAAAAAUUACAAAACAGUCCCGAAGAAGAAGGCGCUGUUGACUUGGCUCUUUGCUGUUGAGAAGACCGAAGAAGAAGAUGCUGCCGAGGAAAGGGGGCUUCGGUGUUGAUGGGUCAAGAGGGAGAAGGAAGAUGGUCGGGCGUGUGGGUGGUCUCUUGUGGGUGCUCCGGUUUGUUGCAAUGGGAGGGGGGUUGCGUUGUUGGCUGGAAAAGGAGAAGAAAAUGGGGGAACGGCGUGGAGGCCGGUUUCAAAGAGAGGGGGAAGCGGUGAAGAGGGGAAGGAAAUGGUGGUACCAGCCGGGUCAGAAAAAUGAAGGCCACCGGGGGGCUGUGUGUAGAGAAGAAA